rnacentral:tRNA from 1 species
UCCUUCAUAGCUCAGUCGGUAAAGCAUCUGUCUGCAAUGCAGGAGACCUGGGAUCAAUUCCUGGGUCAGGAA